CGGCGAGUAGCGCAGCUUGGUAGCGCAACUGGUUUGGGACCAGGUGGGUCGGAGGUUCGAAUCCUCUCUCGCCGACCA
rnacentral:tRNA from 1 species